GAAACCGUUCAGGGGUAAACCUGAGAAACCCAAAAGAUCGAAUGGGGAGAUUCAUCGUCAACGAAGUCGGCUCCCGUUGGUGCGCGAUACCCCGAACGGGCCAUCAUUGGUUCCGUGGCGAGGGCACGCCAUCUUCGUGGAUCGAUCCGGCGACGUAGUCGUGCACUUCUCCCUUAGUAGAACGUCGCGACCCGUUGUGUGUCGGUCUACGGUCUGAGCUGUUGUCUGCCGCGGCGUCUUCGUACGCUCGCUGCAGAGGCUCGGUCGCCCGGCCGGCUGCACGACGGUACUCUGACGGUAUCGGGCCGCAACCAAAAUGCAUUCCUCGAAUGUGCGUGCGUCGGGCCCGCCGCAAGCUCGGACAGUUUCACCCGGAGUGUGCGGACCUAGUGCCCUCCCCGGGUCUGGCCAGCUGUUGGCAGGCGGUGUCCUUGGACUGGCCAAGCUUCGAAUUACCGGUCGGCGACGCUACUGCUUUGGGUACUCUCAGGACCCGUCUUGAAACACGGACCAAGGAGUCUAACAUGUGCGCGAGUCAUUGGGAUAUGUAAACCUAAAGGCGCAAUGAAAGUGAAGGUCGGCCCUAGCGUCGAUCAAGGGAGGAUGGGCCGCCUUACGUACCGGCCCCGCACUCCCGGGGCGUCUCGUUCUCAUUGCGAGAAGAGGCGCACCCAGAGCGUACACGUUGGGACCCGAAAGAUGGUGAACUAUGCCUGGUCAGGACGAAGUCAGGGGAAACCCUGAUGGAGGUCCGUAGCGAUUCUGACGUGCAAAUCGAUCGUCGGAACUGGGUAUAGGGGCGAAAGACUAAUCGAACCAUCUAGUAGCUGGUUCCCUCCGAAGUUUCCCUCAGGAUAGCUGGCACUCGCUCGUUCCUCCGUGAACGCGUGCGAGUUUCAUCUGGUAAAGCGAAUGAUUAGAGGCCUUGGGGCCGAAACGACCUCAACCUAUUCUCAAACUUUAAAUGGGUGAGAUCUCUGGCUUGCUUGGAUCAUGAAGCCAAGAGAUUUUGAAUCAGAGUGCCAAGUGGGCCAAUUUUGGUAAGCAGAACUGGCGCUGUGGGAUGAACCAAACGCAGAGUUAAGGCGCCUAAGUCGACGCUUAUGGGAUACCAUGAAAGGCGUUGGUUGCUUAAGACAGCAGGACGGUGGCCAUGGAAGUCGGAA
rnacentral:rRNA from 1 species